UUAAACAUUCUGGGGGUUUUUUUUAAAAAAAAAAUUUUUUUUUCCUGUUUUUUCUCUCUUCUUUUUUUUUUUAACCUUUUUUUUCUUCUAAAAAAAAAAAAAUAAUUAUUAAUAAUAAAUUUUGGGGGGGCGUGGUGUGUGGGUUUCCCCCCCCCCCGGGGGGGGGCGGGGGGUGGAUGAAACUUUAAAAAAAAAAAAAAGAAAAAAAGGGGGGGGGGGGGGUUGGGAGGCGGGGGGGGAAAAAACCCCGGGCGGGGGAAUAAAUUCCAAAAAAAAAAGGUUUUCCGGUUUUUUUAACCCCGUUUUUUUUAACCGGGCCCUUAAAGGUUAAACCGAAAGAACCCCCCGCCGGAAUGAAAUUUGGGGGCCCCCCGGCCCCGGAAGGGCCCCCGGGGCCGCCCCCCAAAACAACCCAAGGCCGAGGCUGAGGUGAAAAUGAUCGCUUGAAACCAGGCAUGCCCCGCCGAAAUAAGCCGCGGGCGCCAAAUUGGCUUAAAAAGAUUGACUGAUUUCCAGUGAAUUUUCUGCAAUUUUCAACAUUAAUCUUAUCCGCAUUUUCGCUGCUUUCUUUCAUCGAUGCCAGAACCCAAGAGUUCCCGUUGUGAAAGUUUUGAUUAUUUGUCUUUCAGGCUCAGAGAUACGGAAAAAAUAAGAGUUUUGAACCUCCGGCGGGUGCCCGCCGAAGCAACGACAGAGGUUAUGUUCACAGGUUGGAGUUUUUCAACUCAGUUUCUGAUACUGGUACCUGCGGAGGGAUCAUUACUGAGUUGAAAAACUCCAACCCCUGUGAACAUAACCUCUGUCGUUGCUUCGGCGGGCACGCCCGCCGGAGGUUCAAAACUCUUAUUUUUUCCAGUAUCUCUGAGCCUGAAAGACAAAUAAUCAAAACUUUCAACAACGGAUCUCUUGGUUCUGGCAUCGAUGAAGAACGCAGCGAAAUGCGAUAAGUAAUGUGAAUUGCAGAAUUCAGUGAAUCAUCGAAUCUUUGAACGCACAUUGCGCCCGCCGGUAUUCCGGCGGGCAUGCCUGUUCGAGCGUCAUUUCAACCCUCAAGCCUCGGCUUGGUGUUGGGGCGCCCGGGCCCUCCGCGGCCCGGGGCCCCCAAGUUCAUCGGCGGGCUCGUCGGUACACUGAGCGCAGUAAAACGCGGUAAAACGCGAACCUCGUUCGGAUCGUCCCGGCGUGCUCCAGCCGCUAAACCCCCAAUUUUUUAGAGGUUGACCUCGGAUCAGGUAGGAAUACCCGCUGAACUUAAGCAUAUCAAUAAAGGAUCAUUACUGAGUUGAAAAACUCCACCCUGUGAACAUAACCUCUGUCGUUGCUUCGGGCGGGCACCCCGCCGGAGGUUCAAAACUCUUAUUUUUUUCCGGUAUCUCUGAGCCUGAAAGACAAAUAAUCAAAACUUUCAACAACGGGAUCUCUUGGGUUCUGGCAUCGAUGAAAGAAAGCAGCGAAAAUGCGAAUAAGUUAAAUGGUGAAAAUUGCAGAAAAUUCAUUGGAAAUCAUCAAAAUCUUUUUUAAGCCCAUUUGGCGGCCCGCGGCUUAUUUCGGGCGGGGCAUGCCUGGUUUCAAGCGGUCAUUUUUCACCCCAACCCCCGGCCUUGGGUUGUUUUUGGGGGGCGGCCCCCGGGGGGCCCCUCUCGGGCCCGGGGGGGCCCCCCAAGAUUUUUAUACUUGGGGGGGGGUUCUUUCUCGGUUUCCACUCUGUAGGGCCGGGGGUUAAAAAAAACCCGGGGGGGAAAAAAACCCGAAAAAAACCCCCCUUUUCUGGGAAAAAAUUUCCCCCCGGCCGGGGGGGGUGGUUUUUCCCCCCCGCGCCUUAUAAACCCCCCCCCCCCCCCCCUCUUUUUUUUUUUUUUUUUUAAGAAGUAAUGGAAAACCUCCCCGCCCACCCCCCCCCCGUCCGCCACGGGGAAAAAAAUGACAACACGCUAACCACGCCGCCCGCCUCCCAACAAAAAAUAAAAAAUCCCCUUUUUUAUUUUUGUUCCAGGGGAGGGGGUACUAGGAGAGGGAAACGAAAAAAGAGGGAAAAAAAAGGCAAAAAAAAAAUUUGGGGAAGGUUCUUUUUUUUCUUUUUUUCCCCCCAACGGUGGGGCCGCCCAAAAAACGGGACGAGGGGGGGGGGGGGGGAAA
rnacentral:misc_RNA from 1 species